rnacentral:SRP_RNA from 1 species
CAAAGAAAGCCGCACGAGGGUAGGCUGUGAACCGUGUCAGGUGGGGAACCAAGCAGCACUAAGCGGAUUCUCCCUGCGAUGCAUAGCUUUCUUUGUAU